CAUUUCAAAUUACAUUCACUCACUCACCUUCAACCGUUUAUUCCAAUUAUGGGUCACGGGGCGCUGGAGCCGAUCCCAGCAGUCAUAAGGCCUAAGGCGGGGUACACUGUGGACAGGACACUGGUGUGUCACAGUGCCAUAUAUAGAACAAACAAACACAUUUACACCCCCACACACACCUA